UACGAGGGGGGCGAGCGUUGUUCGGAAUUAUUGGGCGUAAAGGGUGCGUAGGCGGUUUGGUAAGUCUUAUGUGAAAUCUACAGGCUCAACUUGUAGUCUGCAUGAGAAACUGCCGGGCUUGAGUAUGGGAGAGGUGAGUGGAAUUCCUGGUGUAGCGGUGAAAUGCGUAGAUAUCAGGAGGAACACCUGUGGCGAAAGCGGCUCACUGGACCAUAACUGACGCUGAUGCACGAAGCUAGGGGAGCAAACAGG
rnacentral:rRNA from 1 species